AAAAAAAAAAGAAAAUGAAAAAGAAAAAAAAAUCAGCUUUCACGAAGUAAAAGAAAUAGAUGUUUAUCCAUCGUUCUCCUCCUUAAAAUUGCUUUUGACGAAUUUAAAGGAAGAAGAAGAAGAAAAAAAAAAUCGAAUAUGGAGGAUGUUCAAUUUUUUUUUGGAUAUUAGAUAUGAUUUUUAUACAUUUUUAAGGUGAUUUAGUUUUGCUCGUUUGUCUAUAAUUUUUUGUGUUGUACAUAUACUCAAUCUAUUUUAAGAUGUUGUGAUUAAUGAAUAUUAGUUCGUUUAGUACU
rnacentral:lncRNA from 1 species